CCCCUAGAUGUCCUGGGCCGCACGCGCAAUACAAUGUAAAGUUCAGAAAGCAUAUCCUGUUCCGGAAGGCAAUGGGUAAUCUUUUCAAUAUUUUACGUGUUAGGGAUCGAUCUUUGCAAUUAUAGAUCUUGAACGAGGAAUACCUCGUAAGUGCAGCUCAUCAGGCUGUACUGAUUACGUCCCUGCCCUUUGUACACACCGCCCGUCGCUCCUACCGAUUUCGAGUGGUCCGGUGAAUCUUUUGGAAUUAGAGUGCAAACUCAAACUAAGAUCGAUAAACCUUAUCACUUAGAGGAAGGAGAAGUCGUAACA
rnacentral:rRNA from 1 species